rnacentral:lncRNA from 1 species
UAAAAGUCAGGUCGGAUUAAGCCAUAGUACGGGAAAAACUAUGCUACCUGUGAGCCCCGUCCGAGGACGUUAAAAGAAGUCAGGCCAUCACAAAUGCCACAGCUUGAGCAAACUGUGCAGCCUGUAGCUCCACCUGAGAAGGUGUAAAAAAUCUGGGAGGCCACAAACCAUGGAAGCUGUACGCAUGGCGUAGUGGACUAGCGGUUAGAGGAGACCCCUCCCUUACAAAUCGCAGCAAUAACGGGGG